GUAGUCAUGGCCAAGUGGCUAAGGCAAUGGAUUCAAAAUCCAUUUGGGUUUCCCCAUGCAGGUUCAAAUCCUGCUGACCACA